rnacentral:rRNA from 1 species
GACGAACGCUGGCGGCGUGCUUAACACAUGCAAGUCGAACGGAAAGGCCCUGCUUUUGUGGGGUGCUCGAGUGGCGAACGGGUGAGUAACACGUGAGUAACCUGCCCUUGACUUUGGGAUAACUUCAGGAAACUGGGGCCAAUACCGGAUAGGAGCUCCUGCUGCUUGGUGGGGGUUGGAAAGUUUCGGCGGUUGGGGAUGGACUCGCGGCUUAUCAGCUUGUUGGUGGGGUAGUGGCUUACCAAGGCUUUGACGGGUAGCCGGCCUGAGAGGGUGACCGGCCACAUUGGGACUGAGAUACGGCCCAGACUCCUACGGGAGGCAGCAGUGGGGAAUAUUGCACAAUGGGCGGAAGCCUGAUGCAGCAACGCCGCGUGCGGGAUGACGGCCUUCGGGUUGUAAACCGCUUUCGCCUGUGACGAAGCGUGAGUGACGGUAAUGGGUAAAGAAGCACCGGCUAACUACGUGCCAGCAGCCGCGGUGAUACGUAGGGUGCGAGCGUUGUCCAGAUUUAUUGGGCGUAAAGGGCUCGUAGGUGGUUGAUCGCGUCGGAAGUGUAAUCUUGGGGCUUAACCCUGAGCGUGCUUUCGAUACGGGUUGACUUGAGGAAGGUAGGGGAGAAUGGAAUUCCUGGUGGAGCGGUGGAAUGCGCAGAUAUCAGGAGGAACACCAGUGGCGAAGGCGGUUCUCUGGGCCUUUCCUGACGCUGAGGAGCGAAAGCGUGGGGAGCGAACAGGCUUAGAUACCCUGGUAGUCCACGCUGUAAACGGUGGGUACUAGGUGUGGGGUCCAUUCCACGGGUUCCGUGCCGUAGCUAACGCUUUAAGUACCCCGCCUGGGGAGUACGGCCGCAAGGCUAAAACUCAAAGGAAUUGACGGGGCCCCGCACAAGCGGCGGAGCAUGCGGAUUAAUUCGAUGCAACGCGUAGAACCUUACCUGGGUUUGACAUGGAUCGGGAGUGCUCAGAGAUGGGUGUGCCUCUUUUGGGGUCGGUUCACAGGUGGUGCAUGCCUGUCGUCAGCUCGUGUCGUGAGAUGUUGGGUUAAGUCCCGCAACGAGCGCAACCCUUGUUCACUGUUGCCAGCACGUUAUGGUGGGGACUCAGUGGAGACCGCCGGGGUCAACUCGGAGGAAGGUGGGGAUGACGUCAAGUCCUCAUGCCCCUUAUGUCCAGGGCUUCACGCAUGCUACAAUGGCUGGUACAGAGAGUGGCGAGCCUGUGAGGGUGAGCGAAUCUCGGAAAGCCGGUCUCAGUUCGGAUUGGGGUCUGCAACUCGACCUCAUGAAGUCGGAGUCGCUAGUAAUCGCAGAUCAGCAACGCUGCGGUGAAUACGUUCCCGGGGCU